rnacentral:rRNA from 1 species
AUUGAACGCUGACGGCAGGCUUAACACAUGCAAGUCGAGCGAGCGUCGUGCGGGUUAGUAAUGUCUGGGAAACUGCCUGAUGGAGGGCGGUAACUACUGGAAACGGUAGCUAAUACCGCAUACCAUCAGAGAUGCCCAGAUGGCAGUAGCUAGUAGGUGGGGUAAAGGAUCACCUAGGCGACGAUCCCUAGCUGGUCUGAGAGGAUGACCAGCCACACUGGAACUGAGACACGGUCCAGACUCCUACGGGAGGCAGCAGUGGGGAAUAGUGGACAAUGGGCGCAAGCCUGAUGCAGCCAUGCCGCGUGUGUGAAGAAGGCCUUCGGGUUGUAAAGCACUUUAAGCGAGGAGGCGUUACUCGCAGAAGAAGCACCGGCUAACUCCGUGCCAGCAGCCGCGGUAAUUG